rnacentral:rRNA from 1 species
GACGAACCGUGCAAACGUUGUUCGGAAUCACUGGGCUUAAAGGGCGCGUAGGCGGGCUCCCAAGUCGGUGGUGAAAUCUUUCGGCCCAACCGGAAAAGUGCCGCCGAUACUGGGAAUCUCGAGGGAGGUAGGGGUCGAUGGAACUUCCGGUGGAGCGGUGAAAUGCGUUGAUAUCGGAAGGAACGCCGGUGGCGAAAGCGCACGACUGGAUCUCUUCUGACGCUGAGGCGCGAAAGCCAGGGGAGCAAACGGG